rnacentral:lncRNA from 1 species
UUAAUUAAUUUUAUGAGAGCGUGAACUUUAUACACUAUAACUAUAAAUAGAUCAAAAUAUAUCUUAUUUUUUUAGAUGAAAAGAGGGAAAAUAUGGCUGAAAAUUUAAAGUUCGUUUAUCUUCUGAUUCUAUUUAUUUCCAUAUUUCUUGUCAUUAUAGUAUCUCAUUCUAUUACUCCUUGGCUUAAAAAAAACUGUGUAACGGAUAAAGAUUGCCCAAAAGUUGCAAAAAUUAAUAUUAGGUGUCGUCGUGGCCAAUGUGUACAGGUCUUCUGAAUCUGAGAUGAGUGAGUACUUGGGCUAGCAAAUUAAUUAUAUAAUAUACCUAUGCUAGAAUAUUCCACGAGUUGUCAUCUUGUUUUUUUUUUUUUUUCAUAUACAAUAUAAUUGUAUUUUUUCUUCUUAAUUUCAUGGACUUUAAAGUUAUGAUAUUGUAAUCUAAGAUUGUUGAAAUGAAAUAAAAUAAAGCAGCAAAAAUUUUGAUGUAUAGUGUCCUCUUAUCUUUUAAAUUUGGAGGUAUUGAUAAAUUUGUAGCAAAUUGUAUUCAAAAUCCAUUGAAGUAAUAAAAUAAAUUUGUCUCUAUAAGAAUAGUUUUAAUCUCGACUUGGAAAUGUAAUUAUAGCUAGGGAUGGCAAAAAAAGGUCAACCCGCUCCGUCAAUAGCCCGUCUAAAAGUAAAGCCUAACCCGCUAGAAGAGAUCUUGGUUGGAUACAAGACCUGUUUUUUAAAACUUUCAGAAUGUUUUUGUGUAAAAGUGGUCUUAAAUCUUUAAAAAAAACAGGUCUUGUAUUGUAUAUCAGAUUUACACUAGUGACCCCUACAGUUUUUGGUACAUGAGUACUCGCAAAAAACAUCCGCAAUUGGUAGGUAAAAUUCUUCAUUUUCUUAGGUUCGGGCCUGCAAAUUUAAAUGGAUAUGAGCGCGAGUAAAGGUGUUAUAUUGCACAGCCCCGCAAUCCGUAUAAACAUAUUUAUAUAAUAUGAUAAAUAAUUUAUUUAUUUGUGGUGUAUAAUUAAUUAUUUUUUUUAGCUAUUUAAGCCUAAACUUAAACCUAAAAACUACUUAAUAAAGUAACCGCUCCCUCUUGCUGGUGUACAAUUUUUGAAGUAUAUUUUGGAUGUUUUUUAUUUGGCCAAAUAUUAUGGUUCCUAAUAUUUUAUGAGUUUAUUUGAAAAAAAUGGAUCAUAGUUUUAUUUCAAUUGUAAUGUUUUUAUUGUCUUUUCAUAGUUAAAGUGUAGGUAACGGAUGCAGGUAUGGACAGUUAGGUGUCAAUAAUGUAUGGAAAUUGUAAAUAAAGUUGUUGUCCACGAGUAUACAAGCUCAGUUUCGUGUAUUUUUUACAAACACGAUUAUGGGUAUGGGCACUGUAUAAUACUCUACCCAUAGGGGAUCCAAUGCUAGUGGCGGAGCCGCGUGAGAGUGAGGGGUGCAGCUGCACCUUCUGAGAUUUAUAAAACUUCAUAAAAACUACUUAUUUUUUCGAUUUUUACCAUUGUUUUAUAUCGAUGUUCCCCCUAAAAUUCACAAAUAUCCAAGAGGUUAUGGUGUUGCACCUUACCAUAUGUUCCAUAUUGUUAAGGUACGGUACCACCAUCACACCACUAAUAACACUCUUCACACACUCCAAUAUCUUUGAAUCAAAAUUACGGUAUAUUUUCCUUUAAAACACACACCUAUAUUUGUUGUUGGUACACAAUUUUUUCCCCUUUAUUUCACUAUCUUUUUUGGGUGGGGUUUGCGUUAAUUUAUAUGUAUGUAAUUUUUGCCUUUAUUUCAUUGUUAUUGUUAUUACAAUUGCAUAGAUGACAAUUAAAGUAUGUAUGUCUUUCGAAAAAAAUAAACUAAAGUAUGCAUAUCCCCUUAAAAAAAAAACUAGAUUAAAGUUUGUAUAUAAAUUUUUUGGGUAGAAAGUACUCCAUCCGUCCCAUUUUAGUACAUGUUAUAUAUAUAUAUUAACUAUUAAAUAAAUUUCAAAAGGUCGAACCCCUAACUCAAGGUCUUGGCAACGCCACUGUCCAAUGCCAUCCCUUGUUUUUGGAACCACCAAGACCAAAAAAGAGUGGUUCUAUGAUAAAUAUAACUCAUUUUGAAAAACCAUUUUGGUUUACAUUCAAUACCACUUUACUUUGUAAAUAAAUAUGAAUCAUAUAGUUGAUCUGAAUGAGAAGGUCCAAUAAAUUAUAAAAUUACUAUUUUUAAAUAAAUAUUCUUUAUGAUUCAAUUAUUUAAUCAAAAUAUAUAUUGAUCAUACAAUACGAUCUAGUUGUGCAUAAAUAUUUCUCACCCAAAUGAUACAUUAUAUUCCUUAAACACCAAGUGCAAAAAAAAAAAAAAAAAAAAAAUCCCUUUACCAUGACAAAAGGUUAAAAAAAGUAAAGAACUUUUAUUAAAGAAAAUUUAGUUAAACAAUAUUCAACACUUAUGAUUAUCAAGUUUAUUAUAUGACCUCCUUUAGAAGUGUCUGAAAGGCAAAAACACAACGCACCGACAUAAUCAUGAGGCAUUUAAAGGGGGUUUUUAAAUUUUAUAAAUGCUUAAAUAAUUUAAUUAAUUUUAUGAGAGCGUGAACUUUAUACACUAUAACUAUAAAUAGAUCAAAAUAUAUCUUAUUUUUUUAGAUGAAAAGAGGGGAAAUAUGGCUGAAAAUUUAAAGUUCGUUUAUCUUCUGAUUCUAUUUAUUUCCAUAUUUCUUGUCAUUAUAGUAUCUCAUUCUAUUACUCCUUGGCUUAAAAAAAUCUGUGUAACGGAUAAAGAUUGCCCAAAAGUUGCAAAAAUUAAUAUUAGGUGUCGUCGUGGCCAAUGUGUACAGGUCUUCUGAAUCUGAGAUGAGUGAGUACUUGGGCUAGCAAAUUAAUUAUAUAAUAUACCUAUGCUAGAAUAUUCCACGAGUUGUCAUCUUGUUUUUUUUUUUUUUUUCAUAUACAAUAUAAUUGUAUUUUUUCUUCUUAAUUUCAUGGACUUUAAAGUUAUGAUAUUGUAAUCUAAGAUUGUUGAAAUGAAAUAAAAUAAAGCAGCAAAAAUUUUGAUAUAUAGUGUCCCCUUAUCUUUUAAAUUUGGAGGUAUUGAUAAAUUUGU